GGAAUUCGCCCUUAGAGUGUGAUCCUGGCUCAGGAUGAACGCUGGCGGCGUGCCUAACACAUGCAAGUCGAACGGGGGUCAUAUGACGGAAGUCUUCGGACGGAAGUGGUGUGACUCGAGUGGCGGACGGGUGAGUAACACGUGAGCAACCUGCCUUUUGCUGGGGAAUAACUGUGGGAAACCAUGGCUAAUACCGCAUAUUGUACCGACUGGGCAUCCGGUUGGUAUGAAAGGAGAAAUCCGGCAGAAGAUGGGCUCGCGUCCGAUUAGGUAGUUGGUGGGGUAACGGCUCACCAAGCCUACGAUCGGUAGCCGGACUGAGAGGUCGAACGGCCACAUUGGGACUGAGAUACGGCCCAGACUCCUACGGGAGGCAGCAGUGGGGAAUAUUGGGCAAUGGGGGAAACCCUGACCCAGCGACGCCGCGUGAAGGACGAAGGCUUUCGGGUUGUAAACUUCCUUGGGGAGGGACGAAAUUGACGGUACCUCCAGAACAAGCCACGGCUAACUACGUGCCAGCAGCCGCGGUAAUACGUAGGUGGCAAGCGUUAUCCGGAUUUACUGGGUGUAAAGGGCGCGCAGGCGGUUCUGAAAGUCAGAUGUGAAAGAUCAAGGCUUAACUUUGACAGGUCAUCUGAAACUUUGGGACUUGAGUAUCAGAGGGGAAAGUGGAAUUCCUGGUGGAGCGGUAAAAUGCGCAGAGAUCAGGAGGAACACCGGUGGCGAAGGCGACUUUCUGGCUGACAACUGACGCUGAGGCGCGAAAGCGUGGGGAGCAAACAGAAUUAGAUACCCUGGUAGUCCACGCCGUA
rnacentral:rRNA from 1 species